rnacentral:rRNA from 1 species
UCAGGCCUAACACAUGCAAGUCGUACGAGAGUUUUUAACUCUAGUGGCGGACGGGUGAGUAACACGUGAGAAUUUGCCUUUAGGAGGGGGACAACAAUUGGAAACGAAUGCUAAUACCCCAUAUGCUUUCGAGUGAAAUGGAUUUUAUCCGCCUAGAGAGAAGCUCGCGGCUGAUUAGCUUGUUGGUAAGGUAAGAGCUUACCAAGGCGACGAUCAGUAUCUGGUUUGAGAGGACGAUCAGACACACUGGAACUGAGACACGGUCCAGACUCCUACGGGAGGCAGCAGUGGGGAAUUUUCCGCAAAGGGCGAAAGCCUGACGGAGCAAUACCGCGUGAGGGUUAAAGGCCUAUGGGUUGUAAACCUCUUUUUCAGGGAGGAAUAAAUGA